rnacentral:tRNA from 1 species
AGGGAAAUAGCUCAGUGGUAGAGCGCAUGCUUAGCAUUCACAAAAGAGGUCCUGGGUUCAAUCCCCAGUACCUCCA